GGAGACACAGACUCCACUUUCAGAGAGUCACACUGUAUACGAGACCCUGCCUCUGUUCCCAGUAGUCUCUUCAAAGAAGAUUUCAAGUCCAUCAUCUGCACAACGAGCAAGUAGGACUCGAUAAACUCUGAGGUUGUUUCUGGCUUGAAAAUUCUAU